rnacentral:rRNA from 1 species
AUUGAACGCUGGCGGCAUGCUUUACACAUGCAAGUCGAACGGCAGCGCGGGCUUCGGGCUGGCGGCGAGUGGGGAACGGGGGAGUAAUGCACCGGAACGUGCCCAGCAGUGGGGGAUAGCCCGGCGAAAGCCGGAUUAAUACCGCAUACGACCAGAGGGUGAAAGCGGGGGAGCGAAAGGCAGCGCGGGAUGGGAGGGGCCGAGGUGGGAGUAGCGAGCUGGUGGGGUAAAGGCUUACCAAGGCGACGAUCCGUAGGUGGUCUGAGAGGACGAGCAGCCACCCUGGAACUGAGACCCGGCCCAGACUCCUGCGGGAGGCAGCAGUGGGGAAUUUUGGGCAAUGGGGGCAACCCUGAUCCAGCCAUGCCGCGUGCGGGAAGAAGGCCUUCGGGUUGUAAACCGCUUUUGUUCGGGAAGAAAUCCUCUGGGCUAAUACCCCGGGGGGAUGACGGUACCGGAAGAAUAAGCACCGGCUAACUACGUG